rnacentral:tRNA from 1 species
GGCUCCGUAGUAUAAUGGAUAGAAUGGAAGAUUCCGGUUCUUCAGAUGGCGGUUCGAUUCCGCCCGGGGCUA